rnacentral:rRNA from 1 species
UCACGCAUCGYGUCUCCCCAACAUCCACCAUGAGUGGACGGGAAGGAGGAUGGUCUCCCGCUUCUCACCGGUAGCGGCUGGCCUAAAAUCGGAGCCCUCGGCAUAGUGAAGUCGCGGCUAUAGGUGGUGAACAUGGCUAUGGCCAAGCAAGCAACCAGUCGCGCGUCACCAUGCCAAUGUGAGCUCGAUGGACCCUUUGGUGUUGCUUUCUUGCAACCAAACCUUUGCGAC